rnacentral:misc_RNA from 1 species
GAUGAAGAACGCAGCGAAAUGCGAUACGUAAUGUGAAUUGCAGAAUUCAGUGAAUCAUCGAGUCUUUGAACGCACAUUGCGCCCCCUGGUAUUCCGGGGGGCAUGCCUGUCCGAGCGUCAUUGCUGCCCUCAAGCACGGCUUGUGUGUUGGGCCUCCGUCCUCCUCCCGGGGGACGGGCCCGAAAGGCAGCGGCGGCACCGCGUCCGGUCCUCGAGCGUAUGGGGCUUCGUCACCCGCUCUUGUAGGCCCGGCCGGCGCUUGCCGACACAUCAAUCUUUUUUCCAGGUUGACCUCGGAUCAGGUAGGGAUUCCCGCUGAACUUAAGCAUAUCAAUAAGCGGAGGA